UACGUAGGGGCAAGCGUUGUCCGGAAUCAUUGGGUGUAAAGAGCGCGUAGGCGGCCCAGUAAGUCCGCUCAUGAAAGUCAGGGGCUCAACCCCUGAAUGCGGUGGAUACUGCUGGGCUAGAGUCCGGAAGAGGCGAGCUGGAAUUCCUGGUGGUAAGUCGGUGAAAUGCGCAGGAUAAUCAGGAGGAACACCGAUGGCGAAGGCAGC
rnacentral:rRNA from 1 species